ensembl:lncRNA
CUUUCUCUCUCUCUCUCUCUCUCUCUCUCUCUCUCUCUCUCUCUCUCUCUCUCUCUCUGACUUUUUUCCUCUCAGUGAUGUCUAUUCCCUAAUGUCUAUAAGAUCUACUCAGACCUGCUCUAUGCAUUCUGACAAGCGAAGGACCUACACUGAAUGGCGUGGAGAAAGUGUCUGAGGGAAGAAAGAAAAAAGAGAAAGUAGAGAUAACUCUCAAAUAUUGGAGUGACACCUGACAAACUACUGUGUUUUCAGGAAAUUUCCCCACUUACCACAGUUGGUGACUGACAAAGCACUACAAUGUUUUACAGUUUGAGUGAAGACUAAAU